UGAUGACAUUCUCCAGAAUCGCUGUACUGUCUUGAUGAAAGUACUUUUGAACAAGAAAAGAAAAGAAAAACCAUU